rnacentral:rRNA from 1 species
AACGCGAAGAACCUUACCUGGGCUCGAACGGCUUCUCAACGGCGGUGGAAACACCGCUACUCCGCAAGGGGGUGGAGUCGAGGUGCUGCAUGGCUGUCGUCAGCUCGUGUCGUGAGAUGUUGGGUUAAGUCCCGCAACGAGCGCAACCCUUGUCCUGUGUUGGCAUGCCGUAAGGCGCAACUCUCAGGAGACCGCCAGCGAUAAGCUGGAGGAAGGUGGGGACGACGUCAAGUCAUCAUGGCCUUUAUGUCCAGGGCCACACACGUGCUACAAUGGGCGGUACAAAGCGCUGCCAACCCGCGAGGGGGAGCUAAUCGCCAAAAACCGUCCUCAGUUCGGAUCGCAGGCUGCAACUCGCCUGCGUGAAGCUGGAAUCGCUAGUAAUGCUAUAUCAGAACGAUAGCGUGAAUACGUUCCCGGGCCUUGUA